ACCUGAACAGUGAUACUGAACAGAGGAUGAGGUGCAUUUUGAGUAUUUUCUUGCACUUGUUAUCCACUGUGUUAUCCAUGGCUCAUAGACUGAUCAUCGUUGUGCUCACAGGAGCACUGGUUGGUGUUGCCUUUAGCCAAACUCGUCAGUACUACUUUGUUAGCAC